UACAGAGGUCUCAAGCGUUGUUCGGAUUCAUUGGGCGUAAAGGGUGCGUAGGUGGCGCCGUAAGUCAGGUGUGAAAUUUCGGAGCUUAACUCCGAAACUGCAUUUGAUACUGCGGUGCUUGAGGACUGGAGAGGAGACUGGAAUUUACGGUGUAGCAGUGAAAUGCGUAGAGAUCGUAAGGAAGACCAGUGGCGAAGGCGGGUCUCUGGACAGUUCCUGACACUGAGGCACGAAGGCCAGGGGAGCAAACGGG
rnacentral:rRNA from 1 species